GAACUUUCCAGAGAUGGAUUGGUGCCUUCGGGAACUGUGAGACAGGUGCUGCAUGGCUGUCGUCAGCUCGUGUUGUGAAAUGUUGGGUUAAGUCCCGCAACGAGCGCAACCCUUAUCCUUUGUUGCCAGCGGUCCGGCCGGGAACUCAAAGGAGACUGCCAGUGAUAAACUGGAGGAAGGUGGGGAUGACGUCAAGUCAUCAUGGCCCUUACGACCAGGGCUACACACGUGCUACAAUGGCGCAUACAAAGAGAAGCGACCUCGCGAGAGCAAGCGGACCUCAUAAAGUGCGUCGUAGUCCGGAUUGGAGUCUGCAACUCGACUCCAUGAAGUCGGAAUCGCUAGUAAUCGUGGAUCAGAAUG
rnacentral:rRNA from 1 species